AAUCGACUUAGAAUGUAGGAUGGU
rnacentral:miRNA from 1 species